AGAACGAACGCUGGCGGCAGGCUUAACACAUGCAAGUCGAGCGCCCCGCAAGGGGAGCGGCAGACGGGUGAGUAACGCGUGGGAAUCUACCCAACUCUACGGAAUAACUCAGGGAAACUUGUGCUAAUACCGUAUACGCCCUUCGGGGAAAGAUUUAUCGGAGUUGGAUGAGCCCGCGUUGGAUUAGCUAGUUGGUGGGGUAAAGGCCUACCAAGGCGACGAUCCAUAGCUGGUCUGAGAGGAUGAUCAGCCACAUUGGGACUGAGACACGGCCCAAACUCCUACGGGAGGCAGCAGUGGGGAAUAUUGGACAAUGGGCGCAAGCCUGAUCCAGCCAUGCCGCGUGUGUGAUGAAGGCCUUAGGGUUGUAAAGCACUUUCACCGGAGAAGAUAAUGACGGUAUCCGGAGAAGAAGCCCCGGCUAACUUCGUGCCAGCAGCCGC
rnacentral:rRNA from 1 species